rnacentral:rRNA from 1 species
AUUGAACGCUGGCGGCAGGCCUAACACAUGCAAGUCGAGCGGAUGAAGGGAGCUUGCUCCUGGAUUCAGCGGCGGACGGGUGAGUAAUGCCUAGGAAUCUGCCUGGUAGUGGGGGAUAACGUCCGGAAACGGGCGCUAAUACCGCAUACGUCCUGAGGGAGAAAGUGGGGGAUCUUCGGACCUCAUGCUAUCAGAUGAGCCUAGGUCGGAUUAGCUAGUUGGUGGGGUAAAGGCCUACCAAGGCGACGAUCCGUAACUGGUCUGAGAGGAUGAUCAGUCACACUGGAACUGAGACACGGUCCAGACUCCUACGGGAGGCAGCAGUGGGGAAUAUUGGACAAUGGGCGAAAGCCUGAUCCAGCCAUGCCGCGUGUGUGAAGAAGGUCUUCGGAUUGUAAAGCACUUUAAGUUGGGAGGAAGGGCAGUAAGUUAAUACCUUGCUGUUUUGACGUUACCAACAGAAUAAGCACCGGCUAACUUCGUG